rnacentral:rRNA from 1 species
CUCUUAGAUGUUCUGGGCUGCACGCGUGCUACAAUGAAGCGUCCAACAAGAUGCGAAGCCGAAAGGCUCAGCGGAUCUUUGAAGUCGUUUCGUGACCGGGACAGUUGAUUGCAAUUAUUCGACUCGAACGAGGAAUUCCUUGUAAUCGCGAUUCAUCAUAUCGCGCUGAAUACGUCCCUGCCCUUUGUACACACCGCCCGUCGUUCCUACCGAUUGAGCGAUCCGGUGAAUUAUUUGGAGUGUCCACGCAAGCCAAUCCGUUUACGUGGGUGCGAAAUUUUGUAAACCUUAUCGCUUAGAGGAAGGAAAANUCGUANCA